rnacentral:tRNA from 1 species
AGUCAAUUAGUUAUAAGAAUAACGCAUGUUUUGAAAGCAUGAUGAAGGGGUUCAAUUCCCCUAUUGGCUU